rnacentral:ncRNA from 1 species
GAAAAGACUAUGAAGUAGUAAAGUAGCGUAGAGGAUAGUUACAGAGAGGAAGGAACGGUGAAAGCCUUCUACUUAGAAUUUAUGUGAAGUGCACUAUAGAGUUGGAACCUGAAACUUUAGUAUGGUAUCCCGGGAUUACCCGUUAUAGUAAUAGAGCAUAUUUGUGCUUGAUUUAAGAGGACUUUUAAGUUAAUUAGAGUGGAACCGCGGAGUUAUAGCUUCGUCUCUAGA